rnacentral:rRNA from 1 species
UACGUAGGGGUCGAGCGUUGUCCGGAGUUACUGGGCGUAAAGCGUGCGCAGGCGGCUCAUUGCGCCCGGCGUGAAAGCCCCCGGCUCAACCGGGGAGGGUCGUCGGGGACGGGUGAGCUUGAGGGUAUCAGGGGUUGGUGGAAUUCCCGGUGUAGUGGUGAAAUGCGUAGAGAUCCGGAGGAACACCAAAGGCGAAGGCAGUGUCCUGGGGAGUACCUGACGCUCAGGUGCGAAAGCCAGGGGAGCGAACGGG